CAUGGUAUCAGAGCGGGAUGAUCCUCGGAUUCUUCUCCGUUACUUGUUAUCGAUCGUGUUGGAAGUUUUAUUAAAGUUUUUUUUGGAUAUUUGUGAGAGAUUCUGUUUACCGAGAGAACGAUGUAUAUUGAACGGAUAAUCGGAACUUUUACUACUGUUUGAUGCUUCAAUCUUUACUCAGUGGAUGUUUUGGGUGAUUUUCCGACAUCCCUGACCUUUUUCCGGUGACUUUCCAGAUUCUAGGGUUUCUGGUGGUUGAACCUAGGGUUUUACUGCUAUCCGAUGGCUCGAUCCUUACUCGGUGGAUGUUUUGGGUGAUUUUCCGAUGUCCCUGACCCUAUUCCGGUAAGUUUUGUGGUUGGACCUAGGGUUUUAUUGCUAUCCGAUGGCUCGAUCCUAACUCGGUGAAUAUUUUGGGUGAUUUUACGACGUCCCUGACCCUAUUCCGGUAAGUUUCCAGACCCUACGAUUUUCCGGUGGUUGAACCUAGGGUUUUAUCUGGCGAUUGAAGGCCGUUCUUCUCCGGUCGCGAAGAAGGAGGGCAACUCUAUCCCUGUUCUAAGUGUUGUAUGUUUUGAAUGUGGGUUCUGAUUCAGCUUUAGCCUCUUUACUGAGACUGUUUUUUGAUUUUAAACUGGAUAUUGUUCAUGACUUCUAAUAUGAAUGUUAAUACCUCCUCAGUGGACUCUACCAGCCCCCUUUUUGUUUACUCCUCUGAUGUUCAUGGAGUUUCUCUUGUUCCACUCCGUUCUACAAGAAAUAGUUAUGGGGGUUGGAGGAGGAAAAUGAUUGUCGCGCUGUCUGCUAAAAAUAAAAUUGGCUUAGUUGAUGGCACAUGUCCCCGGCCAGUCACUAAUGUGGCUGUGCAGUGGUUAUGGGGGUUGGAGGAGGAAAAUGAUUGUCGCAUCUGCUAAGAACAAAAUUGGUUUUGUUGAUGGCACAUGUCCCGGCCAGUCACUAAUGUGACUGAGCAAAGACUAUGGGAUAGAUGCAAUAAUAUGAUAAUUUCCUGGUUAACUGCCUCCCUGUCCCCUCAAAU
rnacentral:lncRNA from 1 species